UUCCUGCAAAAAAUAAAAAUAAUAAUAAUAAUAAUAAUAAUAAAAAAUCAACAACAGGAACAGAUAUACUAGUAAUUUUACACUGAUAAUGGAAUUACACACACAAAAGAUUAAAUUACAAAUCAACAUGCAACUUAAUACGGUAACAGAUUUCCAGCAGAUUUGUAAUUUUAUCUGAAUAUCGUGGAAAAAUUUAUUUUUUGAAAUGAUCCAAAUGAAAGUUACUUUCAUCGCAAAAGAGGACUUUAGACCACUGAGCAACAGUCCAGUUCUUUUGAAAGUCUCAGGAAACCUUCCCAGGAAACCUCAGGUGUUUUGAGUUAAUUAACUGAUUAGAGCGACAUCAGGUUGACAUUUCUGUAUUAUAAAUUCUUUAUUCUAAUAUUCUGAGGUACUGGAUUUUUGAUUUCCAUCAGCUGUAAGCCGUAAUCAUCGAGAUUAAAACAAAACAAAACAAAAAAAACGUUUGAAAUAUUUCACUUUAUGUGUAAUGACUCUAGAAUAUAUUAAAGUUCCACUUUUUUAAUUAAAUUACGAGGGGGAAAAAAACCCUAACUUUUCCACGAUAUUCAAAUUUUUUGAGAUGCACCUGUACAUCCGUAACAUUAAUACUUUUCAAAAUUUAACAUGUUGUUUUUUCAUGUAUGGUGACUCAAUAAAAUAAAUGGAUAACACUUGUAAUAUUAAACAUAUGCUGUAGUAGAUACGGGGCGCAUGGUGGCUUAGUGGUUAGCACGUUUCCCCUCACGCCUCCAGGGUCGGGGGUGUGAUUCCCACUGUGGCCCUGUGUGUGGAGUUUGCAUGUCCAAAGACAUGCAUGGUAGGCUGAUUGUCGUGUCUAAAGUGUCCGUAGUGUAUGAAUGGGUGUGUGAGUGUGUAUGUGAGUGUGUUCCCUGCGAUGGAUUGGCACCCUGUCCAGGAUGUACCCCGUCUUGUGCCCUAUGCUCCCUGGGAUAGGCCCCAAGACCCUGAAGAAGUAGUAAGCGGUAGAAGAUGGAUGGAUGGAUGGAUGGAUGUAGUAGAUACUACUCAACCACACAUACACUCACUGAACACUAUUUACGUACACCUACUAAUUCAUGCAAUUACGUGGCAUCAGUGCAAUGCCCAUCAUCAUACAGAUACGGGCCAGCAGCUUCAGGUAACGUUCACGUCAACCAUCAGAAUGGAGGAAAAAAUAUGAUCUCAGGUUAUUCUGACCAUGGUGUGAUUGCUGGUGCCAGACAGGCUGGUCUGAGUAUUUCUACAACUGCUGAUCUCCUGGGAUUUUCACACACAACAGUCUCUAGAGUUUACGUAAAAUGGUGCAAUAAAGAAGCAGUAGUUCUGUGGAUGAAAACGCAAAGGAGAAUAGCCAGACUGGUUCGAACAGACAGAAAUGAUACAGCAACUCGGAUAAACACUGUAUAAUUGUAGUGAGCAGAAAACCAUCUCAGAAUGCACAACAGGUCAAACCUUGAGGCAGAUGGGCUACAACAGCAGACCAAAUAGCCUGGUCUGAUGAAUGAAAAAUCUGCAGGAUCGCGUGAUGCAGGCACAUCGACACGGACCAGAAUCUCACAGGAACGUCUCCAACAUCUGGUGGAAUCCGUUACAUGAAGAAUUGAGUGCAAAUUCUUCAUGUAACGGCCCUACCCAGUAUUACUAUAGUGUUCCUAAUAAAAUGCUCAGUGAAUGUAUAAUACACGUGACAGGAUAUGCUUCAGCUCAUUUAUUUCUAAUAAUAACCAACACAUUAUUCAAAUUUGUUUUAAAUAAAUAAAUAAAUAGAUAAAUAAAUAAAUAGCAACACACCUGAAUUAAAAUAAACUGAAAACUGUCAGAUAAAUAAUUACGUUUUCCUAAAUACUGGACAAGAAAUUCGUGAACAUGUCUAAUGUGUUUUAUACUGUAGGUCUUUAUAGAGAGAGAGAGAGAGAGAGAGAGAGAGAGAGAGAGAGGGCGGGGGCGGGAUCUUGGGCCUGAUUUCAUUGCUAAAAUAUAAAAGUAACGGUAUCGGCGGCACCGCACCAUAAUUCAAUGUCUAAUAUUUUAAAAACCGAAGCUUUUAGAGGCAGAAACGGAGCAGAAACGAUUGAGACUAUUUUGCCGACGUUUUGCGCUGGGUGCGGGGUCCACUUCACCCAGAUCAGAACCGUCCCAGGCCCACUUCACGCAGACCAGAGCCGACCCAUGCUGGUAGUCAUGAGCUGUUUUAAAAAGGAAAGCAGUGCUGUUAAUACCAAAAAACACAAUAGCCUAACUAGGGCAGAUACUUACGGAAAUAAAGGGAGUUGACGUUUAAACUAAAUGAACGAUGGAUAUGAACCGUAAUGCUAAAUCGCACCGCGUUCAUUACCGCUAAUGCUAACGAGGAGUUUUCAGCAGUUCUGCACCAUUCUGUAGUGGGGGGUGUAUGACGUGGUUAAAACGUCACCCUUAUUAACUACGUGUCCAAUGGGCUCGCUCCCUGCCACAUAUAUAAAUGGUCGUUAAGGCCUUUCCGAAGCGUCAUGGUUGAAAGCUCGCCCUGCCCCGUUUUGGUAUUAUUAUUAGUGUUUUUUAAUUUAAUUUUAGUAUUAUUAUUAUUAUUAUUAUAAUAAUUAUUUAUUUAUUUAUUUAUUAUAAAUUAUUUUUUAUUUUUUUCUCUUUUUUCCUGCCAAGCUACUGCCCACACUCCAGUCCAGUAAGUGGCGGUAAUGCACCUUUAGUGGUUUGCUAACCGCCAUUAAAAACAAAAAGAAGAAGUACCAAGUCAAUCGGGAUUAAACUUCGGUUUGUUUACUUGCGCCGGCUGUAGAUAUUUUCUCCAGUUUUGUGUCGAUUUUAACUCAUUAUUAUUAUUAUUUUUUUUUUUUUUAAAUAUAAGCUUCUGACCGGCAUAAGAAUAAAUUCAGUUAAAUUUCGGUUUUGGAAAUGAGCUAGGUUGCUAAUUAGUCGCAAAGUUGUAGUUCUAGUUAAAGUGAAUUGUGGCCUAUGCUAACGACCGCUGGCUACACGUGCAAGUCAAGUCAAGUAGCUCAUUAUUAAAAACUAAAACCGGAUGAAAACAGAGCAUGAUGAAGAUGGGCUUCUCAAACACAAUCCAAGUCACCGUCUGGCGGCAGGGCGGAGUUGUCUGGCCUCCGUGAUACUGAUAGAAUGUAUCAUCCUCAGGAAGGAGGUGCGACAAUGCCGGAGGACUCACACUUACUGAAUCCCCUGGAAAACAAAACGAGAAGACCAGUGAAUGUUGUUCCUUCUCUCAGUCCCAUGAUAAAUAGUAAAAGAUCACGACGUUACAUCAAUGAAGACUCCCAUCAUAAGCAGGCCUGACUGCACUACAGAAGCAGCUUCCACGUCAGCGAAUCCAGGAG